rnacentral:rRNA from 1 species
AGGAUUAGAUACCCUGGUAGUCCACGCCCUAAACGGUGGGCAUUAGGUGUGGGAUCGUAAGGGUUCUGUGCCGUAGCGAAAGCGUUAAAUGCCCCGCCUGGGGAGUACGGCCGCAAGGUUGAAACUCAAAGGAAUUGACGGGGGCCCGCACAAGCGGUGGAGCAUGUGGUUUAAUUCGACGCAACGCGAAGAACCUUACCUGGGCUUGACAUGUUAGUGGUAAGAGUGAAAGGGUGAUGACCUUAGGGAAACGAGGACACAGGUGCUGCAUGGCUGUCGUCAGCUCGUGCCGUGAGAUGUUGGGUUAAGUCCCGCAACGAGCGCAACCCUCGUUUUUAGUUGCCAUCAUUCAGUUGGGCACUCUAGAGAGACUGCCGGUGACAAACCGGAGGAAGGUGGGGAUGACGUCAAGUCAGCAUGCCCCUUACGUCCUGGGCUACACACGUACUACAAUGCUGCGGACAAAGGGUUGCAAGCUCGCGAGAGCAAGCUAAUCCCAUAAACCGUGGCUCAGUUCAGAUUGCAGGCUGCAACUCGCCUGCAUGAAGGAGGAAUCGCUAGUAAUCGCAGGUCAGCAUACUGCGGUGAAUACGUUCCCGGGCCUUGUACACACCGCCCGUCACACCAUGGGAGUUGGCCACGCCCGAAGUCGUUACUCCAACC